UACGUAGGGUGCAAGCGUUAAUCGGAAUUACUGGGCGUAAAGCGCGCGCAGGCGGUUGUGUAAGACAGAUGUGAAAUCCCCGGGCUCAACCUGGGAACUGCAUUUGUGACUGCACAGCUGGAGUGCGGCAGAGGGGGAUGGAAUUCCGCGUGUAGCAGUGAAAUGCGUAGAUAUGCGGAGGAACACCGAUGGCGAAGGCAAUCCCCUGGGCCUGCACUGACGCUCAUGCACGAAAGCGUGGGGAGCAAACAGG
rnacentral:rRNA from 1 species